rfam:Aedes aegypti strain Liverpool supercont1.94 genomic scaffold, whole genome shotgun sequence.
CAAUCGGCCCUUUUCAGGGCCAACAAGCGUUCAUGAAAGGGUUUAU